rnacentral:misc_RNA from 1 species
GCGAUUUGAAGCGGCCUCCUAAUAAACAGUCUCAGGAAAACCGUCAAACGUGCGUUUACAAACCCCAGCAGAAAAGGGAAUGGGGAAGAAGAAGAAAAGAGCAGAAACAGAAGCUGAUGCUGAUGCAGAAGCAGAGAGAAAAGUCCUCGAGGUCGAUGAGUUCAUUAAUGGCGAUUCUCAUAGGAAGAUGAAGAAGAAAAA